rnacentral:rRNA from 1 species
AUUGAACGCUGGCGGCAGGCCUAACACAUGCAAGUCGAGCGGCAGCGGAAAGUAGCUUGCUACUUUGCCGGCGAGCGGCGGACGGGUGAGUAAUGUCUGGGAAACUGCCUGAUGGAGGGGGAUAACUACUGGAAACGGUAGCUAAUACCGCAUGACCUCGAAAGAGCAAAGUGGGGGAUCUUCGGACCUCACGCCAUCGGAUGUGCCCAGAUGGGAUUAGCUAGUAGGUGAGGUAAUGGCUCACCUAGGCGACGAUCCCUAGCUGGUCUGAGAGGAUGACCAGCCACACUGGAACUGAGACACGGUCCAGACUCCUACGGGAGGCAGCAGUGGGGAAUAUUGCACAAUGGGCGCAAGCCUGAUGCAGCCAUGCCGCGUGUGUGAAGAAGGCCUUAGGGUUGUAAAGCACUUUCAGCGAGGAGGAAGGCAUCAUACUUAAUACGUGUGGUGAUUGACGUUACUCGCAGAAGAAGCACCGGCUAACUCCGUGCCAGCAGCCGCGGUAAUACGGAGGGUGCAAGCGUUAAUCGGAAUUACUGGGCGUAAAGCGCACGCAGGCGGUUUGUUAAGUCAGAUGUGAAAUCCCCGCGCUUAACGUGGGAACUGCAUUUGAAACUGGCAAGCUAGAGUCUUGUAGAGGGGGGUAGAAUUCCAGGUGUAGCGGUGAAAUGCGUAGAGAUCUGGAAGAAUACCGGUGGCGAAGGCGGCCCCCUGGACAAAGACUGACGCUCAGGUGCGAAAGCGUGGGGAGCAAACAGG